rnacentral:rRNA from 1 species
GGAAAAGAAACCAACAGGGAUUGCCUCAGUAACGGCGAGUGAAGCGGCAUAAGCUCAAAUUUGAAAUCUGGCUCUUUCAGGGUCCGAGUUGUAAUUUGUAGAAGAUGCUUCGAGUGUGGUUCCGGUCUAAGUUCCUUGGAACAGGACGUCAUAGAGGGUGAGAAUCCCGUAUGUGACUGGGUACCUUCGCUCAUGUGAAGCUCUUUCGACGAGUCGAGUUGUUUGGGAAUGCAGCUCAAAAUGGGUGGUAUAUUUCAUCUAAAGCUAAAUAUUGGCCAGAGACCGAUAGCGCACAAGUAGAGUGAUCGAAAGAUGAAAAGCACUUUGGAAAGAGAGUUAAACAGUACGUGAAAUUGUUGAAAGGGAAGCGCUUGCAAUCAGACUUGCGCCUAGUUGAUCAUCCAGGCUUCUGCCUGGUGCACUCGAUUAGGCUCAGGCCAGCAUCGGUUUGGGUGGUUGGAUAAAGGCCUUGGGAAUGUAGCCUCCUUCGGGUGGUGUUAUAGCCCUCGGUGCAAUGCAGCCUACCUGGACCGAGGACCGCGCUUCGGC